GGCUCAGGAUGAACGCUGGCGGUAUGCCUAACACAUGCAAGUCGAACGGUCACUUCGGUGAUAGCGGCGGACGGGUGAGUAACGCGUGAGAAUCUGCCUCUUGGUUGGGGACAACAGUUGGAAACGACUGCUAAUACCCAAUGUGCCGUAAGGUGAAAGAUUUAUUGCCAAGAGAGGAGCUCGCGUCUGAUUAGCUAGUUGGUAGUGUAAGGGACUACCAAGGCAUCGAUCAGUAGCUGGUCUGAGAGGAUGAGCAGCCACACUGGGACUGAGACACGGCCCAGACUCCUACGGGAGGCAGCAGUGGGGAAUUUUCCGCAAUGGGCGAAAGCCUGACGGAGCAAUACCGCGUGAGGGAGGAAGGCUCUUGGGUUGUAAACCUCUUUUCUUAGGGAAGAACACAAUGACGGUACCUAAGGAAUAAGCAUCGGCUAACUCCGUGCCAGCAGCCGCGGUAAUACGGAGGAUGCAAGCGUUAUCCGGAAUUAUUGGGCGUAAAGCGUCCGUAGGUGGUUUUUCAAGUCUGCUGUCAAAGACCGUGGCUUAACCACGGAAAGGCAGUGGAAACUGAGAGACUAGAGUUCGGUAGGGGUAGCGGGAAUUCCCAGUGUAGCGGUGAAAUGCGUAGAUAUUGGGAAGAACAUCGGUGGCGAAGGCGCGCUACUGGACCGAAACUGACACUCAGAGGACGAAAGCUAGGGGAGCGAAAGGGAUUAGAUACCCCUGUAGUCCUAGCUGUAAACGAUGGAAACUAGGUGUGGCUUGUAUCGACCCGAGCCGUGCCGAAGCUAACGCGUUAAGUUUCCCGCCUGGGGAGUACGCACGCAAGUGUGAAACUCAAAU
rnacentral:rRNA from 1 species